rnacentral:rRNA from 1 species
CUAAAAACUUAGCUUAUCUAAUUCUUAUGUACUCCCCCCCCCCACAAAUAAACUCAAUAAAACAUUUUUCACAUUAAGUAAAGGCGAUUAAAAAAUGUCUAAAAGCUAUAGAAACUAGUACCGCAAGGGAAAAGUGAAAUAAAAAUGAAAAACCUCAAGCACAAAAAAGCAGAGUUACAAUCUCGUACCUUUUGCAUCAUGGUCUAACUAGUCUAACCAAGCAAAAUGAAUUUUAAGUUUGACCCCCCGAAACUAGAUGAGCUACUUAAAAACAGCCUUUAGGGCCAACCCGUCCAUGUUGCAAAAUGGUGGGAAGAUUUUUAAGUAGAGGUGAUAGACCUACCGAAUCUAGAGAUAGCUGGUUAUUCAGGAAAAGGAUUUUAGUCCUACCUUAGGUUUACUAUAUAGUUUACAAUACUACCACAACCUUAAGAGCUAUUCAAAUAAGGUACAGCCUAUUUGAAACAGGAUACAACCUCUACU